rnacentral:rRNA from 1 species
UAGUAAUUGGGAGGAGGUGUUUCGGAAGAGAUGAUGGUUCCAGUCCCUUGGAACAGGGCGUCACAGAGGGUGAGAAUCCCGUACGUGACCAAUUAUCGAUUCCAUGCGAAACCCUUUCGACGAGUCGAGUUGUUUGGGAAUGCAGCUCUAAAUGGGUGGUAAAUUUCAUCUAAAGCUAAAUACCUGCCAGAGACCGAUAGCGCACAAGUAGAGUGAUCGAAAGAUGAAAAGCACUUUGAAAAGAGAGUCAAACAGUACGUGAAAUUGUUGAAAGGGAAGCGCUUGCAAUCAGACUCGUUUGCAGAAGCUCAGCCUUCCUUCGGGAUGGUGUAUUCUUCUGUCAACGGGCCAGCAUCAGUUUCGGCGGCUGGAUAAAGACUUUGAGAAUGUAGCUCUUUUCGGAGAGUGUUAUAGCUCGGAGUGUAAUGCAGCAGCUGAGACUGAGGUCCGCGCUUUUGCUAGGAUGCUGGCGUAAUGGUUGCU